rnacentral:sRNA from 1 species
GGCGAUUGCCCUCUUGGGGCGUUUCCUCCCUAGACUUCGGGCCGCUCGCGAGGGCGGCCUUUUUUUCUGCCUUGG